CACUAGUAUCGGCUGAAGCUGCCAGCAUGAUCUUAACCUUUCUCACUUUUUUGAGGAUAGAUCAGAUCAUGUGGUAGCUUCACCCGAUGGCAGU
rnacentral:pre_miRNA from 1 species